rnacentral:rRNA from 1 species
GACCUCGGAUCAGGUAGGGAUACCCGCUGAACUUAAGCAUAUAAAAACCGGGGGAGAAAGAAACAUUAAUUAUCGGUAGUUUACUACCGUUUGAAGGGGGUGGAAAGUUUCCAGGUCUUCCUGGGGGUGAGUACAUCCUAUUCUUAACCCUUGACUUUUU